AGCAGAGCAUGCUCACAUAUUUAAAAUACAUACAGAAAUACUCAACAAAUUUGUGUUUUAUUGAUUUAUUUAGAGUCGGUGUCUAUUGAUUUUUCGACUGGCCUCUACCGGAAGAAUUUAACUCAAGUAGGACAGCCAAUUAAGUUAGUCAACUUGCAUCGCAAAACAUGUUUCCCGAAUCCCCUCGAGGGCGUGAUUUGUCAGCACAUCGCACACGAAUUCACAGCUUUUGCCCGUGAGCACAUGUAAGAAGAGGAGUGGGACUUUGUUCAGCGUGACUGGUGAGGAGAUGAACCGCUGUUUCUGCUGUUCCACGCCGAGCAGACUCUGCUUGGCCACCUUGAAUGCUUUCCUGCCUCCAUGAUCCAGAAAGCACCUGUCCUGGGACCACCAGUACAGCUCCACUGGAGAACAGGGGGAAUUCCGCAUAUGCACAUGCUCAUCGCGCCACAAAACGGAUCCGAUAACGGAUAGCCGGCCACUAUUACAGGUGCCAUUUCCACUCACUGCAAAGGAAUCCAGUGGCGGACCUCAUACAAAUGCAGUCAAAAGGCCAGACAGAGUCAACGCUGGCGCCGCACUGCGAAGAGAUCACAGGCUCGGACGGUCGACUCAUGCUACGGUCAUUUCCCCUCAGCUAACAGGAAUGCAAGGGUGUGUAACUCAAGUGUGUGCGACACGCUCCUCUUCGGUCCCAUCGCUGACCCUUCACCCAGUUCAGCAUCCCAUCUUUCCUUCGCAAACAAGUGAGUCACAUGAUCCUUCGCUUUCACUCGAACUUGUCGAUCACUACCCCCAUCCUCCAGCAGCUCUCUCUGCCAAAACCGGCCGCUUCCUUCUGCAGUUUAGUGCACUCGCAUUCUCUGACAGUCUUUUAUCUCUCGGGAUCUCCUAUGGAAAUAUGCGUAGCUGGUGAUUGAAACCAUUUUGUAGUCACUGUUAUCUUUACUCCUGUCUGGACAUAAAAGGACACUUCUUCCCUGUGUCCAAUAAUACUGACAUUCAUUUUAUCACUGGAGGUCAACGGUUAAGUGCUGGUCGCCAGAAUGUGUUUCCGUCAUCCCUAAUGUUGUCGGUGUAAAUUACGUCUUACAAAAAAUCUGAUUACGAAUCAUCUCUGCAGAUAAAAAUAAGCUGUUUUGACAGAAUCUAAUUCAUUGCAAAAUAUUUACAUUCUGUCAUCAAGAUGCAUCAUGGACCAUUUCAUAAGAUGUUUGCAUAUUGUAUGGUAUUUUAUAAACAUGAUGACAAAAAUUCGUACACAAAAAAGUCAUCAUUUAUUUAACCUCUGUGGAAGGUUAAACCACCACCAACUCGUAUUGAAAAUCAACCCUUUGUGAUCCAUUUUCAUGGCCUCUCAGCCGUAAACUGUGGCUUAAAAGAGAGGAAGGCGUUUCCUUUUCAUAACUUGUACAAUCACGCAAACACCUGCCCACACACCAACAAACACACAUUCCUCACGUUCCCCUGGUCAGAUAAACAAGGACUCUGCUGCACACACACAUGUAAAGGGGAGCAUUUAUCAUUACAGUUGGCAGAAGUUCUGUUUGGAUUACACACCUAGACAAACUACAUAGUGACCCCUGACCCCAUAGAUCACUCUCAGUGCUGUUUACUAAGGCAAGCAUCAUUAUUACUAUUGGAAUUUAGUCAAAUCCUUUGUGCUUUAUACAUGAAUGUUUGAUAUAAAUGUCAAGGGUGUGCCCUUUUAAGGGUGAUACCCUUAAGACAUCAACCUAGCAACCACAUAGUAAUGCCCGAGCAAGAAUUUAUAAGUUGCAUUUGGUUCUUUGUUGCAAUGAUUAACCAAUUAAAGGAGUAGUUCUCUUUCCAUAGUAGGAAUACAAAUUACUAUGGAAGUGAACAGGGGACAAAUGUAUAGAAUUUGAUAAAUCUGUAGUAUUUAAUUCCCUGCACAAAUUCCACACAAUUCUAUAUAUUAGUCAUUUUAAAGUCAAACACGUAUGAGCCACAGCAAUAGUG